rnacentral:rRNA from 1 species
AUACGGAAGGUCCAGGCGUUAUCCGGAUUUAUUGGGUUUAAAGGGAGCGUAGGCUGUUUUUUAAGCGUGUUGUGAAAUGUAGAUGCUUAACAUCUGAAUUGCAGCGCGAACUGGAAGACUUGAGUGCGCGGAAGGUAGGCGGAAUUCGUCGUGUAGCGGUGAGAUGCUUAGAUAUGACGAAGAACUCCGAUUGCGAAGGCAGCUUACUAAACCACUACUGACGCUCAUGCACGAAGGCGUGGGGAUC